rnacentral:lncRNA from 1 species
CAUUGUUUUGGUAGGAAGCCAAAAUUCAGCAAUUUUUGCAUGUGGGGCCUUCUUUUUUCAACGUACGCAUCAAUAAAGUUAUGCAGUUAUGUGUAGAAAUAAAAUGUGUUCGUGGCUAUUUUCCUUUUUUUUAGCACCCGAUAUAUUUAUUUAGACGCUUCAUUCGUUGCGCCGACGGGCGGCGCUUUCGCUCUUACCCCUUCUGCUGCCAUUCCGUGUGUCUGCUCCUGCCGCUUUCACUGUGUGCACGUGUAGAAUUUUCGUAGUAUGCCUUGAAGGGGAAAAUUUUGGUGUCUGUGAGUGCCACCGUGCUCAAAAUGUCCGAAAAACUACGCAAAGGAAACAAGGCAUGCUGCGCUUCUGUGUGGUGCGACAACUCAGGAAGGAACAGCGCAGCGACAUUUUUCCGCUUCCCAGCGACCGGUGUGACGUAUGGCGGAGUGACACGCGCCAAAAGGGGAGACCUGGCGGGGCUGGAAUGAAAGCAAAUGUAUAGUACAGCGGCUACCACCUCUGCUCGUACUACUUCACCGAAUGUGCUUACGCCGACCCUGCCAGAACGCGGCCGCUGUUGACGGCUGUUCCCGCUGUUGCAGUGGAAGCGGUGUCCCUGAUCGAUGAAGGACCCUCCCGGGCACAAGUCACGGCUGAUUCGGCUAAAGACCACCCGGGCCAAAACAGCCUCGCCGCAGUGUCAGAAGGCGACCCCACCACAGCCGGCUCCGUCUCCCAUGAAUCGCCGUCUCAUCUCGGUAUCACGCCAUAAUUUGUACUUACUAUACGUGAUACGCAGCUAUACGCUACUGUGGCAUGUACUGAAUGUCUUCGUUUUCGAUACGUUGCUAAUAAAAUAAGUGAAUAAACCACAUUUCCUGACUACUCCUUUUUCUUGCCGACACAAAAUUUCACGCGUCAGGGCAUGCUGGCUCGCGCGUAUUCAACUGACAAACAUUCCCAAACAAAUGUUUUAUGCACGGGCUGAGCUUUCAGGAAAAUUAGCAACCGAAAGCUGU